UGUAAAGUCUACAGAUGUAAUCUGAUCAUUUUUAUUGCCUUUCAGUGCCAUGUGACCUGCUCUAAUAGAUGUCAGACACCAUCAGUUUCCAGUGGUGAAGGCUGAGAAAUACUGAACAUACGUUGUCUCCUAGGGACCCUCUGAUACCAGGAAAGGAAGAAAAAAGAAACCUUCUUCAGAAUUCCAUGGAUGGAGGAUCUGGAGGGCUAUGGUCCAUGGGAUCGCAAAGAGUCGGACACGACUGAGCAACUAACACUAAACCUUCUUCAACAUGGGAAGAGUGGGAAACUGGGCCUCUGUAAACUUGAACUCCGGGAGUUGGCGAUGGACAGGGAGGCCUGGCGUGCUGCAGUCCAUGGGGUUACAGAGAGUCGGACAUGACUGAAAGACUGAACUGAACUGAACUGAACUGGCACAAACUGGCACAACUAUCCCCCAAUUAAAAAUAACAUUAUUUCCAAUUAAAAAUGUAAAUAAAAAAUAAAAAAACAAAACAGAAGCU
rnacentral:lncRNA from 1 species